AGUGAACGCUGGCGGUAGGCCUAACACAUGCAAGUCGAACGGCAGCACAGUAAGAGCUUGCUCUUACGGGUGGCGAGUGGCGGACGGGUGAGGAAUACAUCGGAAUCUACUUUUUCGCGGGGGAUAACGUAGGGAAACUUACGCUAAUACCGCAUACGACCUACGGGUGAAAGCAGGGGAUCUUCGGACCUUGCGCGAUUGAAUGAGCCGAUGUCGGAUUAGCUAGUUGGCGGGGUAAAGGCCGACCAAGGCGACGAUCCGUAGCUGGUCUGAGAGGAUGGUCAACCAAACUCGAACAGACACACGAUCCAGACUCCUACGAGAGGCAGCAGUAGGGAAUAUUAGACAAUGCGCGCAAGCCUGAUCCAGCCAUAUCGCGUCAGUCAAGACGGCCUUGGCAUUGUAAAGCCUUUAUGUUGAAGAAGAAAAGCAGCUGGUUAACUCACCGCUGUUCUGACGAUACCCCAAGAAUCAACCACGGGUAAGUUCGUA
rnacentral:rRNA from 1 species